rnacentral:lncRNA from 1 species
UUUUCUUUCUUUUGCUGAUUGAGCCUGCAAAACCAUGUCACUCUUCGACUUUCCUGCAGCUCUUUUAGUCAUUCUUUGUUCAUGAGAUCUUUCCAACAACAUAUCUUGAUGUCAACACUUCUCCAUAUACCUUGAUUUGAUUCACCGGUUUCGUAACCUUGGUGAAAAAAUCAAUUAUGCUUUCAUUGUCUUUCAUCUGAAACAAUUCAUACGUUCUUUUGUGAGUUUGUAACCUCACCUCUUUCACCUUCUCCGCGCCUCUAAA